UGGGGAAUUUUGGACAAUGGGCGCAAGCCUGAUCCAGCCAUGCCGCGUGCAGGAUGAAGGCCUUCGGGUUGUAAACUGCUUUUGUACGGAACGAAAAGGUGCCUUCUAAUAAAGGGCGCUCAUGACGGUACCGUAAGAAUAAGCACCGGCUAACUACGUGCCAGCAGCCGCGGUAAUACGUAGGGUGCGAGCGUUAAUCGGAAUUACUGGGCGUAAAGCGUGCGCAGGCGGUUUUGUAAGACAGAGGUGAAAUCCCCGGGCUCAACCUGGGAACUGCCUUUGUGACUGCAAGGCUGGAGUGCGGCAGAGGGGGAUGGAAUUCCGCGUGUAGCAGUGAAAUGCGUAGAUAUGCGGAGGAACACCGAUGGCGAAGGCAAUCCCCUGGGCCUGCACUGACGCUCAUGCACGAAAGCGUGGGGAGCAAA
rnacentral:rRNA from 1 species